CGAAGCAUCUCCCAGCCGUAAGCCCCAUUACUUAUUCAAGAACACCUACUUACUGUUGAUUACUUACUCUGCUGUGCAGAUCGCAGGAUCCUCUGGGCUGAACGCCGCAUGUGAUGUCCCUAUGAAAGGAGGUGGACACACGAAUUAUUCCUUUCUCGGCACUGACCGAAGCAUCUCCCAGCCGUAAGCCCCAUUACUUAUUCAAGAACACCUACUUACUGUUGAUUACUUACUCUGCUGUGCAGAUCGCAGGAUCCUCUGGGCUGAACGCCGCAUGUGAUGUCCCUAUGAAAGGAGGUGGACACACGAAUUAUUCCUUUCUCGGUCUUAACUGAAGCAUCUCCCAGCCGUAAGCCCAUCACCCAUUAAAGACUACAUACCUGCUGUCGAUUGCUUACUCUGCUGUGCAGAUCGUAGGAUCCCCUGGGACGAAUGCUGCAUGUGAUGUCCCUAUGAAAAGAGAUUGCAGGAUCCUCUGGGCUGGACGCUGCAUGUGAUGUCCCUGUAAAAGGAGGUGGACACGAGAAUUAUUCCUUUUCCCGGUCUCGACCGAAACAUCCACGAGCUCUACUUACCCGGAUAUCCCCCCCUCAUUCCGGGACGGGUGACAGACUAUCCUGGCUCUUGCCGGCCCCGUACAGGCACGAACUGCCGACGACUCCACGCCUCCCCGGCGUCCGAGGUCUGGCUUCGUUCUGGUCGGGAGACACGGAAGGAACACUGAACUUUUUAAAUUGCUUUUUAACCA
ensembl:lncRNA